rnacentral:rRNA from 1 species
UACGUAGGGGGCAAGCGUUUGUCCGGAUUUAUUGGGCGUAAAGAGCGUGUAGGCGGCCUGGGAGGUCCGUUGUGAAAACUCGAGGCUCAACCUCGAGACGCCGAUGGAAACCAUCUGACUAGAGUCCGGAAGAGGAGAGUGGAAUUCCUGGUGUAGCGGUGAAAUGCGCAGAUAUCAGGAAGAACACCCGUGGCUAAGGCGGCUCUCUAGUACGGUACUGACGCUGAGACGCGAAAGCGUGGGGAGCGAACAGG